GAUGAACGCUGGCGGCGUGCCUAAUACAUGCAAGUCGAGCGAAUGGACGAGAAGCUUGCUUCUCUGAUGUUAGCGGCGGACGGGUGAGUAACACGUGGAUAACCUACCUAUAAGACUGGGAUAACUUCGGGAAACCGUAGCUAAUACCGGAUAAUAUUUUGAACCGCAUGGUUCAAAAGUGAAAGACGGUCUUGCUGUCACUUAUAGAUGGAUCCGCGCUGCAUUAGCUAGUUGGUAAGGUAACGGCUUACCAAGGCAACGAUGCAUAGCCGACCUGAGAGGGUGAUCGGCCACACUGGAACUGAGACACGGUCCAGACUCCUACGGGAGGCAGCAGUAGGGAAUCUUCCGCAAUGGGCGAAAGCCUGACGGAGCAACGCCGCGUGAGUGAUGAAGGUCUUCGGAUCGUAAAACUCUGUUAUUAGGGAAGAACAUAUGUGUAGGUAACUGUGCACAUCUUGACGGUACCUAAUCAGAAAGCCACGGCUAACUACGUG
rnacentral:rRNA from 1 species